rnacentral:lncRNA from 1 species
ACAGUGUCAUGAAUCUGAACCGGGGAAUGAUCAACCUCCUAAAAAUCGAAAAGGUAAGUCUAUCUCUGUUUCUGAGAGUCGUAUCUUGUAUCCCGAUAUAGAUGAUCCAGUUGCUGUUAGAAAACCUGUUAGAUCUUGCGCUAAACAUCCCUUGUCUAAUUUCAUAUCAUAUUCAAAAUUGUCUUCAUCAUUUUCUGCUUUCACCUCAAAAUUGUCUAAUGUAGAAAUUCCAAAAAAUGUACAGGUUGCUCUAGAAGUUCCAAAGUGGAGGGAAGCUGUACUUGAGGAGAUGAAAGCCCUUGAAAAGAACAAAACUUGGAGUGUUAUGACACUACCAGAUGGGAAGAAGACGGUUGGAUGCAAAUGGGUGUUUACUGUUUACUGUGAAGUAUAAUUCAGAUGGGUCAACUGAAAGGUAUAAGGCUCGAUUGGUAGCUAAGGGGUUUACUCAGACCUAUGGUAUAGACUACUCAGAGACAUUUGCUCCUGUUGCUAAAUUGAAUACUGUUAGAAUUCUCUUAUCUGUUGCAGCUAACCUGGAUUGACCCCUACAUUAGUUAGAUGUUAAGAAUGCCUUUCUCAAUGGUGAUUUAGAAGAAGAAGUAUAUAUGGACAUUCCUCCUGGUUUUGAAGACAGGUUUGGAUCAAAUGUAUGCAAACUAAAUAAGUCUUUGUAUGGAUUAAAGNACAAAGUUCUCCCAAGAUGGGAAAGUAGCUGUCCUGAUUGUUUAUGUCGAUGAUAUUGUUCUUACCGGAAAUGAUACAGUUGAAAUGGGAAGAGUAAAAGAGAAAUUAGCAGCAGACUUUGAAAUCAAGGAAUUGGGAUCCAUGAGAUAUUUUCUUUGUAUGGAGGUUGCUCGAUCAAAAGAUGGUAUUGUUGUUUCCCAGCAGAAAUACAUCAUAGAUUUAUUGAAAGAAACGAGAAUGAGUGGAUGUCGACCGGCAGAUACCCCCAUGAAUCCUAAUGCAAAACUUUGGGAAAAAGGUAAUGUUCCUGUUGAUACCGGAAGAUACCAGAGAUUGGUUGGGAAAUUAAUUUAUCUGUCACGCACCAGACCAGACAUUGCUUUCUCAGUUAGUGUAGUAAGCCAGUUUAUGCAUUCUCCGUUUGAGGAACAUCUUGAGGCAGUCUAUAGGAUACUGAGAUAUUUAAAGGCAACUCCCGGAAAAGGAUUAUUUUUCAGGAAGACUAAUGAAAUAAAUGUGUCUAUCUUCACCGAUGCUGAUUGGGCAGGUUCGAUUACUGAUAGAAGAUCAACUUCUGGAUAUUGUGCCUAUGUUUGGGGUAAUCUUGUGACAUGGAGGAGCAAGAAACAAGGAGUUGUAGCACGAAGUAGUGCAAAAGCUGAGUUUAGAGCUAUGGCUCAAGGUAUAUGUGAAGGAUUAUGGAUCCAUAGAGUCUUAGAAGAACUUAAGAUGAAAAUUGAGCUUCCGUUGAAAUUGUACUCUGACAGUAAACCUGUCAUUAGCAUAGCUCAUAACCCUGUUCAACAUGACAGAACCAAGCAUAUUGAGAUUGAUCGACAUUUCAUAAAAGAGAAGUUAGAUGCUGGAAUCAUAUGUUUACCUUUUGUAACUUCAAGUCAACAAACUGCAGAUAUCUUAACCAAAAGUUUGGCAAGACCCACCUUUGAACAUUUGAUAGGCAAGUUGGGCAUGACAGAUAUCUAUGCACCAACUUGAGGGGAGGUGUUGGAAUAUAUUUAGUUUCCUAAUUUGUUAUUCUAAACAUAUCAUUAUUUCCUUUUAUUUCUCCUAAAAUCAAGAAGAUAGCCAGUUG